UCCCUUAUGGUCCAGUGGCUAGGACUCCAUGCUCUAAAUGCAGGGGGCCUGGGUUCGAUCCCUGGUCAGGGAA
rfam:TPA: Bos taurus chromosome 3, whole genome shotgun sequence.